rnacentral:rRNA from 1 species
CACGUAGGAGGCAAACGUUAUCCGGAUUUACUGGGCGUAAAGCGCGUGUAGGUGGUUCUGUAAGUAGGGCGUGAAAGCUCCCGGCUCAACUGGGAGAGGCCGUUCUAAACUGCAGAGCUAGAGGAUGGUAGAGGGAGGUGGAAUUCCAGGUGUAGCGGUGGAAUGCGCAGAUAUCUGGAGGAACACCAGUGGCGAAGGCGGCCUCCUGGACCAUUCCUGACACUCAGACGCGAAAGCUAGGGUAGCAAACGGGGAUUAGAUACCCCUGUAGUCCCU